rnacentral:rRNA from 1 species
AAUGAACGCUGGCGGCAGGCCUAACACAUGCAAGUCGAACGAAGCCUUCGGGCUUAGUGGCGGACGGGUGAGUAACGCGUGGGAACAUACCCUUUGGUACGGAAUAGCCUCGGGAAACUGGGAGUAAUACCGUAUGUGCCCUUCGGGGGAAAGAUUUAUCGCCAAAGGAUUGGCCCGCGUUGGAUUAGGUAGUUGGUGGGGUAAUGGCCUACCAAGCCGACGAUCCAUAGCUGGUUUGAGAGGAUGAUCAGCCACACUGGGACUGAGACACGGCCCAGACUCCUACGGGAGGCAGCAGUGGGGAAUCUUAGACAAUGGGCGCAAGCCUGAUCUAGCCAUGCCGCGUGAUCGAUGAAGGCCUUCGGGUUGUAAACUGCUUUUGUACGGUAACGAAAGAUACUCUUCUAAUAAAGGGGUCCGAUGACGGUACCGUAAGAAUAAGCACCGGCUAACUACGUGCCAGCAGCCGCGGUAAAGUCAG